AUGAACGCUAGCGGCAGGCCUAACACAUGCAAGUCGAGCGGAUGAGGGAAGCUUGCUUCCCGAUUUAGCGGCGGACGGGUGAGUAAUGCCUAGGAAUCUGCCUAUUAGUGGGGGAUAACGUUCCGAAAGGAACGCUAAUACCGCAUACGUCCUACGGGAGAAAGUGGGGGAUCUUCGGACCUCACGCUAAUAGAUGAGCCUAGGUCGGAUUAGCUAGUUGGUGAGGUAACGGCUCACCAAGGCGACGAUCCGUAGCUGGUCUGAGAGGAUGAUCAGCCACACUGGAACUGAGACACGGUCCAGACUCCUACGGGAGGCAGCAGUGGGGAAUAUUGGACAAUGGGCGAAAGCCUGAUCCAGCCAUGCCGCGUGUGUGAAGAAGGUCUUCGGAUUGUAAAGCACUUUAAGUUGGGAGGAAGAGUUGUAAGCUAAUAUCUUGCAGCUUUGACGUUACCAACAGAAUAAGCACCGGCUAACUCUGUGCCAGCCGCCGCUGUAA
rnacentral:rRNA from 1 species